CCUUCGCUCGGGGGAUUAUGCCGAUUGUGAGAUCUCACGACUCCGGCGGUGUAACUUUCUUCGAGUGAUAGGUGCACUUUCCCUUAAGCCGGACCACGACCAGCGAGUUGUCUUGUCUGAUAUUUGAGGAAGGUGGCGUUGGCUUCUGCAAACGUGUUAUAGCCUCGGAUUCGGAGCGAGCGACGCGUUGGAUUGAUCGAUGCCUGCCCUUUGGGCUCGUACGUUGUCUCUUAUUAGGGUGUUUCCGGCUUCACUGCCUCGGCAGGGGAGUUGGAGACGCUUUGGUUCGAGGUGGCCUCUGCGAUUGGCAUCUACAGUCAGUGGUUUCGAAGUAGGCAGUCCACCUGACCCGUCUUGAAACACGGACCAAGGAGUCUAACAUGUGCGCGAGUCAUUGGGCUCUACGAAACCUAAAGGCGCAGUGAAAGUGAAGAUCCAUUUUGGUGGAUUGAGGUAGGAUCCUGGGUUACGUGCUCAGGCGCACUACCGGCCCGUCCGAUAUGUAUUCAUACGGGCGGAGCAAGAGCGUACACGUUGGGACCCGAAAGAUGGUGAACUAUGCUUGCGCAGGUCGAAGCCAGAGGAAACUCUGGUGGAGGACCGUAGCGAUUCUGACGUGCAAAUCGAUCGUCAAACGUGAGUAUAGGGGCGAAAGACUAAUCGAACCAUCUAGUAGCUGGUUCCCUCCGAAGUUUCCCUCAGGAUAGCUGGCACUCGGGAAAUGAAACAGUUUUAUCCGGUAAAGCGAAUGAUUAGAGGUAUUGGGACGAAACUGCUCUCAACCUAUUCUCAAACUUUAAAUGGGUAAGAUGCCCGACUCGCUCAAUUGGAGCCGGGCUUUCUUCUGAAUGUGAGUGC
rnacentral:rRNA from 1 species